GGGUCCUUAGCUCAGUUGGGAGAGCAUCUGCUUUGCAUGUAGAAGGUCAAGAGUUCGAGUCUCUUAUUCUCCA
rnacentral:tRNA from 1 species